rnacentral:rRNA from 1 species
GAUGAACGCUGGCGGCGUGCCUAAUACAUGCAAGUCGAGCGAACAGACGAGGAGCUUGCUCCUCUGACGUUAGCGGCGGACGGGUGAGUAACACGUGGAUAACCUACCUAUAAGACUGGGAUAACUUCGGGAAACCGGAGCUAAUACCGGAUAACAUGUUGAACCGCAUGGUUCAACAGUGAAAGACGGUCUUGCUGUCACUUAUAGAUGGAUCCGCGCCGCAUUAGCUAGUUGGUAAGGUAACGGCUUACCAAGGCAACGAUGCGUAGCCGACCUGAGAGGGUGGUCGUCCACACUGGAGCUGACACCCGCACCAGACUCCUACGGGAGGCAGCAGUAGGGAAUCUUCCACGAUGGGCGAAAGCCUGACGGAGCAACGUCGCGUGAGUGAAGAAGGUCUUCGGAUCGUAAAACCCUGUUAUUAGUGAAGAACAAAUGUGUAAGUAACUAUGCACGGCUUGACGGUACCUAAUCAGAAAGCCACGGCUAACUACGUG